rnacentral:rRNA from 1 species
GACGAACGCUGGCGGCGUGCUUAACACAUGCAAGUCGAACGGUAAGGCCCUUCGGGGUACACGAGUGGCGAACGGGUGAGUAACACGUGGGUGAUCUGCCCUGCACUUCGGGAUAAGCCUGGGAAACUGGGUCUAAUACCGGAUAGGACCACUGCCUGCAUGGGUGGUGGUGGAAAGCUUUUGCGGUGUGGGAUGGGCCCGCGGCCUAUCAGCUUGUUGGUGGGGUGAUGGCCUACCAAGGCGACGACGGGUAGCCGGCCUGAGAGGGUGACCGGCCAAAGUGGGGGUGGGAUACGGCCCAGACUCCUACGGGAGGCAGCAGUGGGGAAUAUUGCACAAUGGGCGCAAGCCUGAUGCAGCGACGCCGCGUGAGGGAUGACGGCCUUCGGGUUGUAAACCUCUUUCAGCACCGACGAAGCGCAAGUGACGGUAGGUGCAGAAGAAGGACCGGCCAACUACGUGCCAGCCGCCGCGGUAA